UACGGGGGGAGCAAGCGUUGUUCGGAUUUACUGGGCGUAAAGGGCGCGUAGGCGGUCAGCACAAGUCAGUUGUGAAAUCUCCGGGCUUAACCCGGAAAGGUCAACUGAUACUGUGCGACUAGAGUGCGGAAGGGGCAACUGGAAUUCUCGGUGUAGCGGUGAAAUGCGUAGAUAUCAGGAGGAACACCGAUGGCGAAGGCAGGUCUCUGGGCUGACACUGACGCUCAUGCACGAAAGCGUGGGGAGCAAACAGG
rnacentral:rRNA from 1 species